rnacentral:rRNA from 1 species
ACGUAGGGGGCAAGCGUUGUCCGGAUUUACUGGGCGUAAAGAGCGUGUAGGCGGCCAAGCAGGUCCGUUGUGAAAACUGGAGGCUUAACCUCCAGACGUCGACGGAAACCGCGAGGCUAGAGUCCGGAAGAGGAGAGUGGAAUUCCUGGUGUAGCGGUGAAGUGCGCAGAUAUCAGGAAGAACACCAAUGGCGAAGGCAGCUCUCUGGGACGGUACUGACACUAAGGCACGAAAGCGUGGGGAGCAAACGGGA